CCCAGACCGCCAGCUAAGGUCCCUAAUUGAUAUGCUAAGUUAUUAAGGAAGUGCGAUUGCCGUGACAGCCAGGAUGUUGGCUUAGAAGCAGCCAUCAUUUAAAGAAAGCGUAACAGCUCACUGGUCUAAAUAAGGGGUCCCGCGCCGAAAAUGUACCGGGGCUCAAGCCAUACACCGAAACUGCGGGUGUGCACUUUGUGCACGCGGUAGCGGAGCGUUCUGUAAGUCUGCGAAGGGAGACCCGUGAGGGCUCUUGGAGAUAUCAGAAGUGCGAAUGCUGACAUGAGUA
rnacentral:rRNA from 1 species